rnacentral:rRNA from 1 species
UAACGUAGACGAAAGUUACGCUAAUACCGCAUAUUCUGUGAGCAGGAAANCGAGGGGAUCGCAAGACCUUGCGCUGAUUGAGCGGCCGAUAUCAGAUUAGCUAGUUGGUGAGGUAAAGGCUCACCAAGGCGACGAUCUGUAGCGGGUCUGAGAGGAUGAUCCGCCACACUGGAACUGAGACACGGUCCAGACUCCGUACGGGAGGCAGCAGUGGGGAAUUUUGGACAAUGGGCGCAAGCCUGAUCCAGCCAUGCCGCGUGAGUGAAGAAGGCCUUCGGGUUGUAAAGCUCUUUCGGCCGGGAAGAAAUCGCACAGGUUAAUACCCUGUGUGGAUGACGGUACCGGAAUAAGAAGCACCGGCUAACUACGUG